GACGAACGCUGGCGGCGUGCCUAAUACAUGCAAGUCGAGCGCAGGAAAUCAUCCGAACCUUUCGGGGGGACGUUGAUGGAAUGAGCGGCGGACGGGUGAGUAACACGUAAAGAACCUGCCCUCAGGUCUGGGAUAACCACGAGAAAUCGGGGCUAAUACCGGAUGGGUCAUCGGACCGCAUGGUCCGAGGAUGAAAGGCGCUUCGGCGUCGCCUGGGGAUGGCUUUGCGGUGCAUUAGCUAGUUGGUGGGGUAAUGGCCCACCAAGGCGACGAUGGAUAGCCGUCAUGAGAGGGUGAUCAGGCACACUGGGACUGAGGAACGGCGCAGAAGCCUACGGGAGGCAGGAGUAGGGAAUCUUCCACAAUGGACGAAAGUCUGAUGGAGCAAGGCCGCGUGAACGAUGAAGGCCUUCGGGUCGUAAAGUUCUGUUGUAAGGGAAGAACAAGUGCCGCAGGCAAUGGCGGCACCUUGACGGUACCUUGCGAGAAAGCCACGGCUAACUACGUGCCAGCCGCCGCCGUAA
rnacentral:rRNA from 1 species